rnacentral:rRNA from 1 species
UACGAAGGGGGCUAGCGUUGCUCGGAAUGACUGGGCGUAAAGGGCGCGUAGGCGGCUCAUACAGUCAGAUGUGAAAUUCCUGGGCUUAACCUGGGGGCUGCAUAUGAUACGUGUGGGCUUGAGUGGGGAAGAGGGUCGUGGAAUUCCCAGUGUAGAGGUGAAAUUCGUAGAUAUUGGGAAGAACACCGGUGGCGAAGGCGGCGACCUGGUCCUUGACUGACGCUGAGGCGCGAAAGCGUGGGGAGCAAACAGG